CCUACGGGAGGCAGCAGUAGGGAAUAUUGGACAAUGGGCGCAAGCCUGAUCCAGCCAUCCCGCGUGCAGGAUGAAGGUCCUAUGGAUUGUAAACUGCUUUUAUCAGGGAAGAAACCUUGGGAUUCAUCCCAAGUUGACGGUACCUGAGGAAUAAGCACCGGCUAACUCCGUGCCAGCAGCCGCGGUAAUACGGAGGGUGCAAGCGUUAUCCGGAUUUACUGGGUUUAAAGGGUGCGUAGGUGGUCUUGUAAGUCAGCGGUGAAAGCUCGGAGCUCAACUCCGAAAUUGCCAUUGAUACUGCAAGGCUUGAGUACAGUUGAGGUAGGCGGAAUAUGUCAUGUAGCGGUGAAAUGCUUAGAUAUGACAUAGAACACCAAUUGCGAAGGCAGCUUGCUAAACUGAAACUGACACUGAGGCACGAAAGCGUGGGGAUCAAACAGGAUUAGAUACCCUGGUAGUCCACGCCCUAAACCGAUGCUAACUCGAUUUUGGUCGAUAUACAGUCAGAGUCCAAGGGGAAACCCGAUAAGUUAGCCCNCCGNGGGAGGUACGUCCGCGAGAGAGAACGUACGAAGGAAAGUUAGUACGGACGUAGAGACGUUCGCCGACGGACGACCGACGAGGGGAGGUUA
rnacentral:rRNA from 1 species